AUUGAACGCUGGCGGAAUGCUUUACACAUGCAAGUCGAACGAUGAAUCCUAGCUUGCUAGGAGGAUUAGUGGCGAACGGGUGAGUAAUAUAUCGGAACGUACCCAGUAAUGGGGGAUAACGAGUCGAAAGAUUCGCUAAUACCGCAUACAACCUGAGGGUAAAAGCGGGGGAUCGAAAGACCUUGCGUUAUUGGAGCGGCCGAUAUCGGAUUAGCUAGUUGGUGAGGUAAAGGCUCACCAAGGCGACGAUCCGUAGCUGGUCUGAGAGGACGACCAGCCACACUGGAACUGAGACACGGUCCAGACUCCUACGGGAGGCAGCAGUGGGGAAUUUUGGACAAUGGGGGCAACCCUGAUCCAGCCAUUCCGCGUGAGUGAAGAAGGCCUUGGGGUUGUAAAGCUCUUUCGCAAGGGAAGAAAACUUAGGCUCUAACAUAGCUUGAGGCUGACGGUACCUUGAUAAGAAGCACCGGCUAACUACGUGCCAGCCGCCGCCGUAACAC
rnacentral:rRNA from 1 species